AGAGUUUGAUCCUGGCUCAGGAUGAACGCUAGCUACAGGCUUAACACAUGCAAGUCGAGGGGAAACGACAUCGAAAGCUUGCUUUUGAUGGGCGUCGACCGGCGCACGGGUGAGUAACGCGUAUCCAACCUGCCCACCACUUGGGGAUAACCUUGCGAAAGUAAGACUAAUACCCAAUGAUAUCUCUAGAAGGCAUCUGAAAGAGAUUAAAGAUUUAUCGGUGAUGGAUGGGGAUGCGUCUGAUUAGCUUGUUGGCGGGGUAACGGCCCACCAAGGCAACGAUCAGUAGGGGUUCUGAGAGGAAGGUCCCCCACAUUGGAACUGAGACACGGUCCAAACUCCUACGGGAGGCAGCAGUGAGGAAUAUUGGUCAAUGGACGAGAGUCUGAACCAGCCAAGUAGCGUGCAGGAUGACGGCCCUACGGGUUGUAAACCUCUUUUGUCGGAGAGUAAAGUACGCUACGUGUAGUGUAUUGCAAGUAUCCGAAGAAAAAGCAUCGGCUAACUCCGUGCCAGCAGCCGCGGUAAUACGGAGGAUGCAAGCGUUAUCCGGAUUUAUUGGGUUUAAAGGGUGCGUAGGCGGCACGCCAAGUCAGCGGUGAAAUUUCCGGGCUCAACCCGGAGUGUGCCGUUGAAACUGGCGAGCUAGAGUACACAAGAGGCAGGCGGAAUGCGUGGUGUAGCGGUGAAAUGCAUAGAUAUCACGCAGAACCCCGAUUGCGAAGGCAGCCUGCUAGGGUGAAACAGACGCUGAGGCACGAAAGCGUGGGUAGCAAACAGGAUUAGAUACCCUGGUAGUCCACGCUGUAAACGAUGAUUACUAGGUGUGGGGGGUCUGACCCCUUCCGUGCCGGAGUUAACACAAUAAGUAAUCCACCUGGGGAGUACGGCCGCAAGGUUGAAACUCAAAGGAAUUGACGGGGGCCCGCACAAGCAGUGGAGUAUGUGGUUUAAUUCGACGCAACGCGAAGAACCUUACCAAGUCUUGACAUCCCUUGACAGACAUAGAAAUAUGUUUUCUCUUCGGAGCAAGGAGACAGGUGGUGCAUGGUUGUCGUCAGCUCGUGUCGUGAGAUGUUGGGUUAAGUCCCGCAACGAGCGCAACCCUUAUGGUCAGUUACUACGCAAGAGGACUCUGGCCAGACUGCCGUUGACAAAACGGAGGAAGGUGGGGAUGACGUCAAAUCAUCAUGCCCUUUAUGACUUGGGCUACACACGUACUACAAUGGCGUUAAACAAAGAGAAGCAAAGCUGUGAGGCCGAGCAAAUCCCAAAAAUAACGUCUCAGUUCGGAUUGUAGUCUGCAACUCGACUACAUGAAGCUGGAAUCGCUAGUAAUCGCGAAUCAGAAUGUCGCGGUGAAUACGUUCCCGGGUCUUGCACACACCGCCCGUCAAG
rnacentral:rRNA from 1 species